UACGAAGGGGGGCUAGCGUUGCUCGGAAUCACUGGGCGUAAAGCGCACGUAGGCGGAUUGCUAAGUCAGGGGUGAAAUCCUGGAGCUCAACUCCAGAACUGCCUUUGAUACUGACGGUCUUGAGUCCGGGAGAGGUGAGUGGAACUCCGAGUGUAGAGGUGAAAUUCGUAGAUAUUCGGAAGAACACCAGUGGCGAAGGCGGCUCACUGGCCCGGUACUGACGCUGAGGUGCGAAAGCGUGGGGAGCAAACAGG
rnacentral:rRNA from 1 species